AUAAUGUCACUUACCUAUAGCUAAUGAAAUAUUUAAGUGGAGCUCAUAGGAGUGAAAAACAGUUCAUACAUAUGUUGUCUAAUCGAGCCAUGGAUCCAAAGGAACUCAGCAUAUAAUUAAAUCAAGAUGUGCAUGUGUGAUGGAGUAAAUGAUAGUGAUGGUGAAAAUGCAUAAGUGAUAAUAAAACUUAGUUCUCAUUGCUCCUCAUAUUGCUAUCUCUCCUCCUCUUUGAUCUUUGCUUUGGGAGAACAUGGGCUAUCUUUUUUUUUCAGGUGGGUAAUAGAUACCCCUAAUUCUACUGUCGGACACUUGUCCAUUUUUUCCGCUCAAGUGGGCAUCUUUGUACCCCUAAUUCUACUUCGGACACUUGUCCAUUUUUACCUCUCGUCUCACUCUUUUUCUUUCUUUUUCGAGGU
rnacentral:lncRNA from 1 species